AGUGAACGCUGGCGGUAGGCCUAACACAUGCAAGUCGAACGGCAGCACAGUAAGAGCUUGCUCUUACGGGUGGCGAGUGGCGGACGGGUGAGGAAUACAUCGGAAUCUACUUUUUCGUGGGGGAUAACGUAGGGAAACUUACGCUAAUACCGCAUACGACCUACGGGUGAAAGCAGGGGAUCUUCGGACCUUGCGCGAUUGAAUGAGCCGAUGUCGGAUUAGCUAGUUGGCGGGGUAAAGGCCCACCAAGGCGACGAUCCGUAGCUGGUCUGAGAGGAUGAUCAGCCACACUGGAACUGAGACACGGUCCAGACUCCUACGGGAGGCAGCAGUGGGGAAUAUUGGACAAAGGGCGCAAGCCUGAUCCAGCCAUACCGCGUGAGUGAAGAAGGCCUUCGGGUUGUAAAGCCAUUUUGUUGGGAAAGAAAAGCAGCAGGUUAAUACCCCGCUGUUCUGACGGUACCCAAAGAAUAAGCACCGGCUAACUUCGUG
rnacentral:rRNA from 1 species